rnacentral:rRNA from 1 species
AAGCAGGGGAUCGCAAGACCUUGCGCUUUUGGAGCGGCCGAUGUCUGAUUAGCUAGUUGGUGAGGUAAAGGCUUACCAAGGCUUCGAUCAGUAGCUGGUCUGAGAGGACGACCAGCCACACUGGGACUGAGACACGGCCCAGACUCCUACGGGAGGCAGCAGUGGGGAAUUUUGGACAAUGGGGGAAACCCUGAUCCAGCCAUGCCGCGUGAGUGAAGAAGGCCUUCGGUUGUAAAGCUCUUUCAGCCGGAACGAAAAGGUUACGGUUAAUACCCGUGACUAAU